CCAGACUCCUACGGGAGGCAGCAGUGGGGAAUAUUGCACAAUGGGGGAAACCCUGAUGCAGCGACGCCGCGUGAGCGAAGAAGUAUUUCGGUAUGUAAAGCUCUAUCAGCAGGGAAGAAAAUGACGGUACCUGACUAAGAAGCUCCGGCUAAAUACGUGCCAGCAGCCGCGGUAAUACGUAUGGAGCAAGCGUUAUCCGGAUUUACUGGGUGUAAAGGGAGCGUAGGCGGUAAGGCAAGUCUGAUGUGAAAGGCCAGGGCUCAACCCUGGGACUGCAUUGGAAACUGCCCGGCUAGAGUGCUGGAGAGGUAAGCGGAAUUCCUAGUGUAGCGGUGAAAUGCGUAGAUAUUAGGAGGAACACCAGUGGCGAAGGCGGCUUACUGGACAGUAACUGACGUUGAGGCUCGAAAGCGUGGGGAGCAAACAGGAUUAGAUACCCGAGUA
rnacentral:rRNA from 1 species